GAGUUUGAUCCUGGCUCAGGACGAACGCUAGCGGCGUGCCUAAGGUAUGCAAGUCGAACGGGAUCUUCGGAUCUAGUGGCGAACGGUCGAGUAACACGUAGACAACCUGCCUUUCAGUGGGGGAUAACAGCUCGAAAGGGCUGCUAAUACCGCAUAGGGCGGCUAGGCGAUGCCUAGCAUGCUAAAGGAGCAAUCCGCUGGGAGAUGGGUCUGCGGCCUAUCAGGUAGUUGGUGGGGUAACGGCCCACCAAGCCGACGACGGGUAGCGGGUCUGAGAGGAUGAUCCGCCGGACGGGGACUGAGACACGGCCCCGACUCCUUCGGGAGGCAGCAAUGAGGAAUAUUGCACAAUGGGGGAAACCCUGAUGCAGCGACGCCGCGUGGGUGAGGAAGUCCUUCGGGAUGUAAAGCCCUUUUCUCGGGGACGAUUCCAGACGGUACCCGAGGAAUAAGCCCCGGCUAACUACGUGCCAGCAGCCGCGGUAAUACGUAGGGGGCGAGCGUUGUCCGGAUUUACUGGGCGUAAAGAGCGCGUAGGCGGAUGUUUAAGUGUGGCCUCAAAGCCCCCGGCUCAACCGGGGAUCUGGGUUGCAAACUGGGCAUCUUGAGGGGGAUAGAGGAGAGUGGAAUUCCUGGUGUAGCGGUGAAAUGCGUAGAUAUCAGGAGGAACACCCGUGGCGAAGGCGGCUCUCUGGGUCCGCCCUGACACUGAAGCGCGAAAGCGUGGGGAGCGAACGGGAUUAGAUACCCCGGUAGUGCACGCCGUAAACGAUGAAUCACUAGGUGUGUGCGGUAUCGACCCCGCACGUGCCGCAGCCAACGCAAUAAAUGAUCCGCCUGGGGAGUACGGCCGCAAGGUUGAAACUCAAAGGAAUAGACGGGGGCCCGCACAAGCGGUGGAGCAUGUGGAUUAAUACGUCACUAACCGUAGAACCUUACCCAGGCUUGACAUCCAGGGAAUCUUCCUGAAAGGGAGGAGUGCUCGCAAGAGAGCCCUGAGACAGGUGUUGCAUGGCUGUCGUCAGCUCGUGUGGGGGAGAUGUUGGGUUAAGUCCCGCAACGAGCGCAACCC
rnacentral:rRNA from 1 species